rnacentral:sRNA from 1 species
UAAUUUGAAGUUCAAGAUACUACUUUUCAUGUUUUCCAAAUCUUCACCUUACGUCAUAAUUUAAACUAUUCUCUAAUCACAUUCUUUUUCUAUAACAAUGGUUACAUAUUAAGAUCGAACAACAUUCUUUCGCCCAUUUCGUCAUACAUCCUUGAAAUAUUUUAAUAUUAUAUAUAACCUCAAUUAUAGUUACUUGUGUCUAGCUCUUAUAUAUCAAUUCAAUGAAAAAUAGAUAAUUAUCCAAGUACCUUUAAUUAACCAACCAUAAUUGAUAACCUUUCUUUUGAACUUGUCUUCACAGCGUCUGACAUUGUAUCAAAAGAAGAUGCACAAUGUGAUUUAAUUAUAUAACUUCUUACAGUUAACCAAGAUAAAUACUCCAAUUACACCAUGUAGUUGAAAAUAUUGUCUAAAUAUAAUUUUAUAAGUCUAUCCUAUGAACUAACUAUAUUUUUUAAAAGAAUCUUGUAAGCUUUAUCAAUCAAUGAUUUACAUACUAUUUUGUCUCCAUUCCAUGUAUUUGGAAUCCCCAAACAAAAAAAAAAUAUAUAUUUGAGGGUAACUACCUCCAUUCUAAAUUGACAAUAUUUUCAAAGAUUCAAUUGUUCAUGAUUUUUUAAAAUUCUAAUUAUCCCCAGCAAAACAAUUGAGAUAGCUCAAUAUGGUGUUCUUUUUCCUUUAAUUCUAUAUCACCCAAUGAUAAUAUAUACCCAAUUUCCAUUUCCACCACUUCGAAUAAAAUAUACCUUAAACUCUGAUGAUUGAUAAUUAUUGAUAUUUCUCGCAAUGUGAUAAUAAAAUCCCAAUAUAAACAACUCCAAAUCAUGUUUUAAUCAUGCCUCUUCAACAAUCUAUCAUAUAAUUUAUAAUUCAUCAUUUUACUUCAGAAUACUUUUUAAACUUUAACAUAAUCCACUAUCAUAAAUCAAAUCCUCAUCAAGUUUUGAUACGAGAGUAAUUAUUUCCUCAGAAUUUAAUCUGAUAGCAACACUUUUUACAUCUUUAAAUCCACAAAAUUUUGAUGCUCUUUCUUUCUAUGAAAAGACAAUUAUAACAAUUAAUCCAUGAUAAUUCUAUUCUCUUAUUUCAUAAAGAGGUCAUCAGCCAAUUACCAAUGCGUAAGCUUUCUUGUAUGUCUAACAAAGACCUUCAAUUAAGAUUAUACCCUAAAGAUACCAUUCCACAAUUGAAUAAAAUUUAAAUUUGAUGAUUGUCUUAGACAUUAAACUAUCCACAUAUCAUCCAUAUAUUCUAUAACGUAUAGAUCUCGACAAGAAUGGAAUACUUUAUCCGCGAAAUCCAAAAAUACAAUUGAAAAUCACCCAAAAUUUACAUCAUGAAAAAUUUCAAUAAAUUCAUCUUAACUUCAAAAUUUAACUCAACGCUUCCAAAUUGUAUGGAAUAUUACACAAUAAUCCAACAAGUGGCUUUAACAAAACUAAUUAACUUAUAACCCAAAUCUAUCAUCACAUUAUUUUGCCAUAGGACAACCGCUAUAUUCAUUUACAUGUAAUUCAACAUAUCAUUUUAUGAUCUUGUAACCUUAGCAUUUAUCGUCAUAUCGUAUGACUCAAAACAUUUAAUUAUAUUAAUUUUUCCUUAAUACCACAAGAUAAUAACUUUCAUAUUUAUCACAUGAACAUUUCACACAUCAAUAUACCGCAUGUUAAUUUCCCAAUCUCAACAAAUUUCGAUUCUACCAUUCUAAAAAAAAAAAAAAAAAUCCCUCACAUAAACAUACCUAAAUGCACAUAUCCAUUUAAUUCUAUUUUUAAAGCAACAAAUCACCUCAUAAUAGGUAAUCAUUAUGAAGUUCAUCUCUAUUAUUCUUACAUUCCUUAUAGUCAAACAACUCAUAAAUAAUCGAAAUAAUUUGAAUUAUCGUUAAUUUCCUCGAUGCCUAAAAUACACAAUAACACAUUGUUAUCUAUUAAUCAACAAAUCAUCAUUUGUCUUUCACACUUUCUUAUCAUAUAGCAUAAAUAUACACCAUCAUAGUUUCUAUUAUCAUCCCAUAUAAGUGGCCACAAAUCACCACAAAAAUUUUGAUAACGCCACUAAUCAUUUAGUUUCCCAAAAUAAUUAAAAUUUCUCACCUGAUUAUCACCAUUUACACAUAUAAUAUUGUUUUCACUGUUACUAUAGUACAAGCUAGAACUAGGGAUUUCCCAAGUGUAUAUUAAAAACCACGAAAUUCUACACAAAGAUUGGUACUUAAAUGGUUGUACCCUAUCACUUCGAAUGUCUAUAAGUAAAUAACCAGCAAUACCAUCAAAACUUUCACCUUCAAAUUAACAAUAUGUCCAACUCUUAAAAAGCUACAUACACCAUCAUUCCAACCCAACAACUAAUAACACUUUCAACCAUCAGAUUAUGUAACUGGUGUACUUACAUACUACUCAUUUUCGAAUCCGUUAAAAGUAUUCUUCCACCAUUUUAGGUUCCAAACAUUACAGUAGCAAAAGUUUGAGAACCUGUGAUAUAUGCCACCAUGACAUGUGAUUGUAUCCACUGAACAUGCAUGAACUAUAAAUAUUUUCAAAACCAUGCUCUGAUACCAUUUUGACACGACCCGUCCCGAAUCACCCUAGUGGACUCGAAACAUGACGUGCGCCGAGGAUAGAUACUGACUAGAUGUCAAAUCUAUCACAAAUGCUGACUAUGAGUUAUUUCAAAAAAUGCAAAAUCAAAUGCUUAUGUAAAAUAUAAUGCUAUGGACCCAAAAUAUUUACUUCGUGCUUCAUCAAUAUAAAUUAUAACACUCAACAUGUCGUAUGGCUCUCAUUCUAAAAUCAUUAGGCUCUUCCAGCUAAAAAGAAUCAAUUUCCACCUGUAGAGAAAUUACAGGAAAAUAUAUGAGAUGAUAGCUCAGUGAGUAGAUAAAUUCUAAAAUAAUUAUACUUUUUCAUUUUUUUCAUUUUUAUCGAAAAUCGAGUUCAUAUCAUUGAUAACUCGCAAGAUAACAUCAUAUAAUUAUAGCCAAAAGUGAAAUUUUCACAUAAGGUCAUAAAAUAUCAUCUUAAAAUCAUGAUAUAGACAUCAAUUGAUAACCAUGCUAUAAUCUCAUCACAUCAAACGUACUGAAAAAUUCACCAAAAAUGUACCCUCUGGCUGAAAUAUAUAAUCUACUCCUCGGGCUAAGAACUUUCUCCACGGGCCUUUGACCCCUCCGUGAAUGAAUGUCGGUCUCAAAGACCUCUCAUAAUCAAGUCUAGAGUAUAGCCAAGGCCCCUCAAUGAACUAUAUGUACACGGUUGAGACCUCUUCAUCCCCAAUCCAAGACACCUCAGUCUAGUAUAGAACACGGUCAAGGCCCCUCAGUGACUAGAAGAAAUGUAUAAUCACGAGUACUUUUCUAGUCGAUCUCAAAAUCAUAUCUCAUAU